CGUAGGGGGCAAGCGGUUGUCCGGAUUUAUUGGGCGUAAAGCGCUCGCAGGUGGUUCGUCGCGUCGUGCGUGAAAGACCCCGGCUCAACUGGGGAGGGUCGUGCGAUACGGGCGGACUGGAGGCCAGUAGGGGGAUGCGGAAUUCCGGGUGUAGUGGUGGAAUGCGUAGAGAUCCGGAGGAACACCAGCGGCGAAGGCGGCAUCCUGGACUGGUCCUGACACUCAGGAGCGAAAGCGUGGGGAGCGAUCCGGAUUAGAUACCCGGGUAGUCCACGCUGUAAACGAUGCGCACUAGGUGUCGGGGGUAGUCGACCCCCUCCGGUGCCGCAGCUAACGCGAUAAGUGCGCCGCCUGGGGACGUACGGCCGCAAGGCUA
rnacentral:rRNA from 1 species